rnacentral:rRNA from 1 species
CCUACGGGAGGCAGCAGUGAGGAAUAUUGGUCAAUGGGCGGGAGCCUGAACCAGCCAAGUCGCGUGUGUGAAGAAGGUCUUCGGAUUGUAAAGCACUUUAAGUUGGGAGGAAGGGCAUUAACCUAAUACGUUAGUGUUUUGACGUUACCGACAGAAUAAGCACCGGCUAA